rnacentral:misc_RNA from 1 species
GAUGAAGAACGUAGCGAAAUGCGAUACUUGGUGUGAAUUGCAGAAUCCCGUGAACCAUCGAGUCUUUGAACGCAAGUUGCGCCCGAAGCCAUUAGGCCGAGGGCACGCCUGCCUGGGCGUCACACGUCGUUGCCCCCCCAUCUACUCCUUCGGGAUUGCGGGGGGCGGAUGAUGGCCUCCCGUGCGCCUCGCUGCGCGGUUGGCAUAAAUGCCAAGUCCUCGGCGACGCACGCCACGACAAUCGGUGGUUGCGAAACCUCGGUUGCCCGUCGUGUGCGGUCGUCGCGCAUCGAGGGCUCGAAAAAAUUGCCGGGUUCCGGCUCGGCUUUCAACGCGACCCCAGGUCAGGCGGGGUUACCCGCUGAAUUUAAGCAUAUCAAUAAGCGGAGGA